AUGCUGAUUCCAUAGCAGCAACUCUGUUCUGUUGUUGCUUUAAUAUUGAUAAUUGUAGUUGAACGUUUUGGUUAACUGCAACGAAAAUUAAAUUAUCUGGAUUCUUCUUAACAAUGGUUUGAGAUUUGUUUGGUUCUAUAGUUAACUGAGACGUGAUAGGAGAUAUUUUGUUAGAACGGUCAACAGUUUGUGUACUAUCAGAAACAUCUGCAGGGAUAAAUUCCGUUGCUUCAACUUUUCCUUGUAACACUAUUUCCCAUAGCUGCUUAGUAGUAAUAAACGAAGAUUUUGGCAUGAUCAUACUCGCCGUAUUCGCAAGAACCUGAUUAUCCUGCAUGCCUACAAAAAAAACGCAUUUCAGGCUCUGACAAGUAUGAUGAAUUACAAAAAUAAAAUAAGAAGCUUCUCCAAAUAUCUUAUAAAACACAGAAACAAAUGUUUUUGAAGAUUUAAGAGAGUCGUGGUAGAGGAGGUAUGAAUUAACAAAAGAACUGUCAGUAAGUAUUCAGUCAACUAAGGAAUACAUAUCUGAAAACUUGCGCGCAAUGUAAAAUAGGUAAAUCAAUCAAUAUUUUUAACAAUAUCAGCAAGUUUAAGUGCAUAAAAUGGUUUUACGCCAUCGUUGAACCUAUAUUUUAAUUUUAAACAAUUGUCAUCAUAAAUUGUAUUGGAAAAUUUUUUUAAUACUUAACUUCUUACUGAACAUUUGGAUAUUUCUUAGAUAUACAAUUAACU